rfam:Rattus norvegicus chromosome 1, whole genome shotgun sequence.
GGGGAUUUAGCUCAGUGGUAGAGCACUUGCCUAGCAAGCACAAGGCCCUGGGUUCCGUCCCCAGCUCCG